rnacentral:misc_RNA from 1 species
GAAAUGCGAUAAGUAAUGUUAAUUGCAGAAUUCCGUGAAUCAUCGAAUCUUUGAACGCACAUUGCGCCCUCUGGCAUUCCGGGGGGCAUGCCUGUCCGAGCGUCAUUACGCACCCUCAAGCCCGGCUUGUGUGAUGGGCCCCGGCGUCUCGUUCGCGAGACGGGCCCGAAAGGCAGCGGCGGCGUCGACCCGAUGAGCCCGAGCGUAUGGGGACUUCUGUCACACGUUCGCGGUGCGGACCGGCGCCUGCUUGACUUUUCUGAUUAUCCAGGUUGACCUCGGAUCAGGUAGGGAUACCCGCUGAACUUAAGC